rnacentral:ncRNA from 1 species
ACUACGGGAGAGUUCAACUUAGUUGGCGCCGAAGGAGCAAGGGUCCCCCCGAAACUCUCAGGCAAAAGUACCGUUAA